rnacentral:rRNA from 1 species
CGAUGAACCACUUCGGUGGGGAUUAGUGGCGAACGGGUGAGUAACACGUGGGCAAUCUGCCCUGCACUCUGGGACAAGCCCUGGAAACGGGGUCUAAUACCGGAUAUGAGCUUCUACCGCAUCCUUGGGGGUGUAAAGCUCCGGCGGUGCAGGAUGAGCCCGCGGCCUAUCAGCUUGUUGGUGAGGUAACGGCUCACCAAGGCGACGACGGGUAGCCGGCCUGAGAGGGCGACCGGCCACACUGGGACUGAGACACGGCCCAGACUCCUACGGGAGGCAGCAGUGGGGAAUAUUGCACAAUGGGCGCAAGCCUGAUGCAGCGACGCCGCGUGAGGGAUGACGGCCUUCGGGUUGUAAACCUCUUUCAGCAGGGAAGAAGCGAAAGUGACGGUACCUGCAGAAGAAGCGCCGGCUAACUACGUGCCAGCAGCCGCGGUAAUACGUAGGGCGCAAGCGUUGUCCGGAAUUAUUGGGCGUAAAGAGCUCGUAGGCGGCUUGUCGCGUCGGUUGUGAAAGCCCGGGGCUUAACCCCGGGUCUGCAGUCGAUACGGGCAGGCUAGAGUUCGGUAGGGGAGAUCGGAAUUCCUGGUGUAGCGGUGAAAUGCGCAGAUAUCAGGAGGAACACCGGUGGCGAAGGCGGAUCUCUGGGCCGAUACUGACGCUGAGGAGCGAAAGCGUGGGGAGCGAACAGGAUUAGAUACCCUGGUAGUCCACGCCGUAAACGGUGGGCACUAGGUGUGGGCAACAUUCCACGUUGUCCGUGCCGCAGCUAACGCAUUAAGUGCCCCGCC